UACGGAGGGGGCGAGCGUUAUUCGGAAUUAUUGGGCGUAAAGGGCGCGUAGGCGGCCAAGUAAGUCAAAGGUGAAAUCCCUCGGCUCAACUGAGGAAUUGCCUUUGAAACUGCGUGGCUUGAGGCCGGGAGGGGGUAGCGGAAUUCCCAGUGUAGCGGUGAAAUGCGUAGAUACUGGGAGGAACACCAGUGGCGAAGGCGGCGUUCUGGACCAUUACUGACGCUGAGACGCGAAAGCGUGGGGAGCAACAGGG
rnacentral:rRNA from 1 species